AAUCACGCACAACCUUUGCAGAUUACUGCAGGCUGACUCCCCACAGAGAACAGUUACUACCUUCCGCGCCCACAGGGGAUUGCCAGCAUCGGAUCACAGAUACCGGACAAAAAACAUGCAGAAAAAAUUUCAUUAAUAUGAAAAUGCAAGCUGAAGAGAAUAAAACAUAAACAAACAUGAAUAUUUUACAAGGCCCAGGAACUCAAAGUCGUGCAUGAUUUAGCUUACAGUCACCUCCUGAUUAUCCAUCCAAGUGGAAGUAAUGCUAACCUGGAUGACAGGCAAUCUCGAUCAAGUACUCAUGUAUACCAGAACCUGUGCUAGCUCACUGAAUCUUUACAACUACCCUAUGAAAUGAUAAAAGCUGCACGAGGAGAUUAAAUAACUUGCCCAAUUGCGCAGCUCGUAGUGAAGAGGCAGAGUUCCGAGUCUCCUGAUUUCAAAUCUAACACUCUACUAUACAACGCUGCCCUUGAUGUCCUGCUGCAAGGUGUCCAGCACAUUACCCACACUGAUGCUUCCCCUGAAUGUUUUUAAGUCCCUGAUUCUAAAGAAAGCAACUCACAACCAACAGCAUAAGCUAAUCUCGGGUUUCUCUUCCCAAAGAUCAUUGGCAGUAGGGCCAAACAAAGGCAAAUGUGACUGGGACCAUGGACAACGUAUGGACUGGUCUCAUAUAUACUCUGUGCAUUUUUAAAUUACCUUAGGCUUAGCAUUUAGUAAGUAUUCAAAUAAAUGUCUGCUGAAGAAAUGCAUAAAUGAGAGCAAAUUAGGAGUCAAAGGACCUGGAAAGUAGGCUGGUUACAGUAUUAGCUGUGGAUAAUCAAGAGUUGACUGUAGUUAACACAUUUACCAAUAAGAAAAAUGAUACAAAUUCUUUCCCUCACAUUCAAAUUCACUGUCCUAUGUACACAUCCAUUAAAAAAAUUACACACACACACAAGCACAUUUCUUGAGAAGGCAAGCCAGUUUCAAAACUUAAGAUGUACAUAAGCAUAUUAAUACAAGUUAUCAUGCAAACCAUGAAAAACAUAGUGUGCAAUUCAGCCCUGAAGGAGCUACCUUCAAAGAAGAAUAAAGAAUCGGCAGAAAAUGCUCUGCAAGAAACCAAGACAAGGGCUAAAAGGAGAAAAAAGCAAACAAAGACCAUCACCUGGAGAACUUUGGAGAGUUAAGCUGUAGUAAUAGAAGCUGCUCUUUACUGACAACUUACCUUAGGAAGAUGUUAUUAGAACCUGCACUGUUCUUAUAUGGACACACAUUUUAUCAUCAUUCUAUGUUACAGAUUUACCACCUUCCAUUACUUAGCUUAAUUCAAUUCAAAUUAUUUUCAUAUUCAUUACCUUGUUUAGUCCUCACAACUCUGUGAGGGUGGCAGGACAGGUAAAUCAUCCUCAUAUUAAAAAUGAGGAAACUGAAGAACAGGAGUUAAAUAACUUGCAAAAAGACAAAGAGUAAUAUCAACAUUAAAGUUAAUUAAAUUAAUAUUUAUUGGUGGCAGGAGAGGGGGAUUAUUAUAGUUUAAAUGGCACCAGAAGUUUUACUUUAAUGUUACUACAUUUCUUUUAUAGGUUAAAUGACCUACUAUGUGAAGAGUUACUUUUUGAAACUGGAAAACAUUAUAUAACUGUAGAUGAUAUUAUCACCAGAUAUUCUGCAGAAGAUAACGGAAAAUAUUUUUCAAAUGCAGGCUCUUCGAAUAAGAUCCAGAAUUCUUUUUGAAACAUAGAAUAGUCUUUUGGAAUACUGAAAAAACAGUAAACUCUACCCCCAAAGUGGGGCUUGAACUCACAAACCUGAGACUCAGAGUUACAUGCUCUGCUGAGACAGCCAGGUGCCCCAACUUGUAGUGAUUUAUACCAAGGAAUUACUAUUAUGUAUGCAUAAGUACAUAUUUACAAAGAUUUUCUCUGCAGUAUUGUUUCUAGUAAAAAAAAUGGAAGCAACCUAAAUAUUCAUCAAUAAGAGUAGGUUAAAUAAAUUAUUGUGGAUCCAUAUAAUGGAGCACAAUAUAAACUUUGAAAAAAAUAAAAAAGAUUAUGUGUGUAUAUUUGUGUGUGCACAUGUGUGUGGGUAUGGUUUUUAACUUGGAGAGCUAUGAUAUAUAUACCAUUUUGUAAAAAAAAAAUAAUAAGAUGCAAAAU